rnacentral:rRNA from 1 species
UACAGAGGGGGCAAGCGUUAUUCGGAAUUAUUGGGCGUAAAGGGCGCGUAGGCGGUGUUUUAAGUGAGAUGUGUAAUCCCCGAGCUUAACUUGGGAACUGCAUCUCAGACUGGGACGCUAGAGUGCUGGAGAGGGUGGUAGAAUUCCACGUGUAGCGGUGAAAUGCGUAGAGAUGUGGAGGAAUACCAGUGGCGAAGGCGGCCACCUGGACAGUAACUGACGCUGAGGCGCGAAAGUGU